rnacentral:rRNA from 1 species
GACGAACCGUGCGAACGUUAUUCGGAAUCACUGGGCUUAAAGCGCGUGUAGGCGGCUGGGAACGUCGGAACCUGAAAGCCCCCGGCUCAACCGGGGAAGUGGGGCCGAAACGACCCGUCUGGAGGGACGUAGGGGGAUCUGGAACUUCCGGUGGAGCGGUGAAAUGCGUUGAGAUCGGAAGGAACGCCCGUGGCGAAAGCGAGAUCCUGGACGUUUUCUGACGCUGAGACGCGAAAGCUAGGGGAGCAAACGGG